CCACAUUCUGUCUCUCAUGGUUGAGGUUUACCCAUGUUGACAAUUAGAGGCCUCUAAUAUUUUCAAGUGGGAGAACUUGCACAAUUAGUGGUUGACUAAAUAUUUAUUUGCCCCACUGUAUCUAAAUUCGCAUGAAUGUGGCCUUGAACCACACCCCUGACGUAGCCUAAUGCUAGCAUAGCAAAAUCUGUUGUGGACAACAGGUCUUUAUGGGGUUAACUGCGUUUUCUUUUUAAUGACAAAAACAGUUACCUGCCCUAGAAAGGGUUAAAAUACAAACACAGUUUAUACGCUCUUUUUGUCCUUGACGUCGGGAGGCGUGCCCCCAGUGGUCCCGAAAUAAAUACAAAUGGAAAAAAAUAGGCACAAUUUCUGGCGUUAGCACGAAACAAGUUAGCGCGCGCGGUCACGACAACAACACCACGAUUCAGCGUUUUGAUGGGCUUUUUUCUUUUUACAUCACGGCCCGACGUCAUCUGAGGAGGCGGAGCUUUCCGAGCGCACGUCCUUAGCGCCGCCCGGUGACUUGCCGUGUUUAGAACUGGACUUCCUCAGCAUGCGCACCUGUGAGAGAAAAAAAAAAUCCAAUGCUAAUGCUCAUGCUAAUGUUAAUGCUAAUUCGUUUAAUCCAUUGGAGGCCGUAGUUUUUGACCUGUGAGAGAAAAAAAACCCAAUGCUAAUGGUAAAGCUAAUGCUAACUUGUUUAAUUCGUUGGCUGCCAUAGUUUAUUGACCUUGUGUCCCGCCGCGGAGACGACGAUGUGUCCCGGAGCUUGCAGCCAAGGUUCUCCGUCCACUUGGACCGGGCAAGUUUUCUUCAGCGUCACGCGCAUGUAAUUCCCUUGAGCGAUACGAAUGCCGGAACGCAGGCCGCUCUGCACCUGACCCUGCAGAGACAAAGGAGCAUUCGGGCGACGUCCGAGGAGCCGAGAGCGGGAGAACUCACCAUGUGGACCACGCCGGUGACGCCCACCACUUCAAGUAAACCGUCAGACAUGCUGGGUUUGGCGUAUCGAGCAUCCCCCUCGGAACCCCAGAGGUCGGCGCCGGAGCCCCAGCUAGCGGGAACGCACGCGGGGAAAAUGAGGCCUUCGAUGCUGGGGAGCGGCACGUCCCGGUCGUCCACGCGCAGCUGCAGUUCCCGGUGCAGACUCCUGGUGGCACUGAUCUUCUGCAGGCCCACCUUCACGUACACGCCCUUGUUGUGGAACCUGGGAAGCAAACGGAAGAUCUCAGAUCCGUCGCACGCGAGGUCCCGCGCGUCCAGCAGGACGGUCCAGCGGUCCAUCAGAACCUCCUCCGCCUGAUCCACGCCGUCCAGGACCCGGCUCGGGUCCUCGCCGCCGUAACCCGGGCCCCAGCGCAGCACGCGAGACAGGUCGUUACCUUUGGGAAGGAGCGGCGUUAGCCCCGAGCGCCGUGACGCGGCAAGCGCCGGUUUACCUGUUCCGAGCGGCACGAUGGCGACGGGCGGCUCGCGGCAGACCAGACUGUAACGUAGGUCAUCCAAAGCGUUUAGGACCCAGCCCACCGUACCGUCGCCUCCGCAGAUCAACACGCGGAAGCUGGGAAUGGCCCGGAAAGUGUGGAGGCUGCAAAAGUAGGGGUGGGAACCUCUGGGUAUUUUAGGAAAUUCUACAAUACAACUAAUAAACAGAAUGACUAGUAGAUGUCCAAUCCGUUUAAAGUGGGAUUGAUGGCAACAACUGAACAUUCUAUAGCUGUCAGUGGCAGACAAUGCCAGGCAGGUCAAUUCCUAUUGAUAUUGAGUUACUGGGGCAUUUCAUGUCAUUUCCUGUUGUUUUUUUUGUCACUUCCUGUUGAUUUUGGAGCAUUUACAGGUCACUAUUAUGUUGAUUUUGGGUUACUGAGGCAUUUCAUGUCAUUUCCUGUUGAUUUUCAGUCACUUCCUGUUGAUUUGGGGCCAUUUUCAGGUCAUUUCUUUUAGAUUUUGGGUUUCUGGGGCAUUUUAUGUCAUUUCCUGUUGAGUUUCACUCACUUCCUUUUGAUUUUUUGACAUUUAAUGGUCACUUCCUGUUGAUUUUGGGGCCCUUAUACAUCACUUCCUGUUGAUUUUGGGUUACUGGGGCAGUUCACGUCAUCUCCUGUUGAUUUUCAGUCACUUCCUGUUUAUUUUGUGGCAUUUAUAGGUUGCUUCCUGUUGAUUUUGGUGCAUUUAAAGGUCACUUCCUGUUGAUUUUGGUGCAUUUACAGGUCACUUCCUGUUGAUUUUGGGUGACUGGGGAAUUUCACGUCAUUUCCUGUUGAUUUUCUGUCACUUUCUGAUGAUUUUGGGACAUUUACUGGUCACUUCCUGUGGGUUCUGGGUUACUGGGCCAUGACACGUCAUUUCCUGUUGAUUUUAGGGCACAUACUGGUCACUUCCUGUUGAUUCGGGGGCAUUUACUGGUCACUUACUGUUGAGCCUGGGUUACUGAGGCAUUUCACGUUAUUAUAGUGUUGAUUUUCGGUCACUUCUUACUGAUUUCGGGCAUUUACGGGUCACUUUCUGUUGAUUUUAGGUCAUUGGUAGGUCACCUCCUAUUGAUUUUGGAUUACUGGGGCAUUUCACGUCAUUUUCUGUUAAUUUUUGGUAUUUCACUGUUGAUUUUGGGGCAUUUACAGGUUCACUUCCUGUUGAUUUUGGGGCAUUUACAGGUUCACUUUUGAUUUGGGGGCAUUUACAGGUUCACUUUCUGUUGAUUUUGGGUUACUGAGGCAUUUCAAGUCAUUUCCUGUUGAUUUUCGGUCACUUCCUGUUGAUUUUUGGGCAUUUGUAGGUCACUUCCUGUUGAUUUUGGGUAACUGGAGCAUUUCACGUCAUUACCUGUUGAUUUUCGGUCACUUCCUGUUGAUUUUGGGCCAUUUACAGGCCAUUUCCUUUAGAUUUUGGGUUUCUGGGGCAUUUUAUGUCAUUUCCUGAUGAGUUUCAGUCACUUCCUUUUGAUUUUUGGACAUUUAAUGGUCACUUCCUGUUGAUUCUGGGUGACUGGGCCAUGACACGUCAUUUCCUGUUGAUUUUGGGGCACAUACUGGUCACUUCCUGUUGAUUUUGGGGCAUUUACUGGUCACUUACUGUUGAUCUUGGGUUACUGAGGCAUUUCACGUUAUUUUAGUGUUGAUUUUCGGUCACUUCUUAUUGAUUUUGGGCAUUAACGGGUCACUUUCUGUUGAUUUUAGGUCAUUGGUAGGUCACUUCCAAAUGAUUUUGGUUUAUUGGGGCAUUUCACGUCAUUUUCUGUUGAUUUUUAGUGUUUCACUGUUGAUUUUGAGAUACUUACAGGUCACUUCCUGUUGAUUUUGGGUUACUGAGGCAUUUCAAGUCAUUUCCAGUUGAUUUCCGGUCACUUCCUGUUGAUUUUUGGGCAUUUGUAGGUCCCUUCCUGUCGAUUUUGGGUAACUGGGGCAUUUCACGUCAUUACCUGUUGAUUUUCGGUCACUUCCUGUUGAUUUUGGAGCAUUUACAGGGGACUUCCUGUUGGACUAUAGGUUAUUGGGCCAUUAGCGGGUCACUUCCUGUUAAAUUUAGGGCAUUUACAGGUCACUUCCUUUUGAUUUCUGGGCAUUUACAGGUCACUUCCUGUUGAUUUUGGGUUACUGAGGCAUUUCAAGUCAUUUCCUGUUGAUUUUCGGUCACUUCCUGUUGAUUUUGGAGCAUUUACAGGUGACUUCCUGUUGGACUAUAUGUUAUUGAGCCAUUGACAGGUCACUUACUGUUAAUUUUGGGGCAUUUACAGGUCAAUUUCUGUUGGAUUUUAGGUUACUGGGCAUAAACAGUAACUUCCUGUUGAUUUUGGGGCAUUUACACAUCAAUUCCUGUUCCUAUUUUGUGUUACUGAAAAAGAAGUGAAUCAAGAAUGUCCCCCAAUGAAUAGAAAGUGAUUCAAAAUCAACAGGAAGUAACCUGUAAAUACCCUAAAAUGAACAGGAAAUGCCCAAAAGGUUCUGAAUGCUCUAGUUUCAAUGCCACUGACAGUGCUAGACCUCCAAUCCAGUCAAAAUGAAUUGGACGUCUAGCACCGUAAGUGAGCGAACGUAUGUCGUAACGUAUGUCUAUGUUGUCACACCCCUAACAGUAAUUGAGGAUAAUUUUGCAUCGUCUUUGUUAACUCCUUGACUGCAAUUUUGACUGGGAGUAUGCUGUUAGUUCUGACGAGUAUGAAAAAGCAAGACGUUUGAAAAUGUAGUCACCCCGGCAGUGGCCCUCCCUGAGACAAGUCAAAGACUUGGUGCGGAUUGAGAAUCUUGCGGAAGCCGUAGAGAAGCUCUUUUCCCUUCAGUCCGCCGCUCUUGGUGUUGACGAACACCAGCAGGGGGCGCACAUCCUCAUCCAGAAGGCUGACCUGUUAACAACAACAUGACACACCAGGUCAACCCUUAAUAAUAGGGGGGUGAAUCUUUCGCUCCACGUUACCUGGACGUCCGGGACGACGAGCGAAGUGAGCGACUUGUUGUCCACGCGGGUGUCUUUGGCCAACAUGAAGAGGCGCUCGGCUUCGGAGAAACACGUCACCCGCAGGGCCACCGCGCCUGAACGAACAACGGCGAGUAAGAAGUGACAAGCCGGAGAGCCCGAAGAGCGUCUCACCUUGGCUGGCGUACACGUGGCUGAUGUCCACCAGGUGACCUGCCGAGAAAAAGGGCGUGAAGAAGCAAAAGGGAGCAUAAGCAUAGGGACGGGCGGGAGCGUACUCACUUUUGACGCUCAGGUGUUCCAGCAUGAGCUGCCAGUAGUCUUCUUUGUCCGGCAGGUUUGGCAGCCCUCCAAUCAGCAGGCUGAUCUGCACCUCUUGGCUCCGCCUCUCUGCCACGUAGAAACGAGUCUGGUGCAUCUGGCGCAAAGACACCUGGGCGCGAGAUGACACGUUACAGCCAAAACGUCGUCCUUGUGGUCAUGAUUCUAAAAUUUCUACUCAAUAUCGACACUCACAUAUAAUAAAUACCAUUUUCCAUACAUAAAUAAUUUCUUUUUUUUUUAAAAAUUGUGACAAAAAAAAGCUUCCUCAAUUUGCCACAAAAUUAAUAGGAAGUGACCCAAAAUGUACAGGAAGUGACCUGUAAAUGCACCAAACCAUCAGAAAGUAACACAAAAUUAAAUAUUUGUUUUUUUCAAGAACUCUUACAGUGUUUCUCUAUUAAUGGUUAUUAUUUUUGACCAAAAAAGCUUUCUCAAAUUGCCCAAAUUUAACAGGAAGUGACCUAAAAUGUACAGGAAGUAACCUGUAAAUGCCCCAAACCAACAGAAAGUAAAACAAAAUUAAUUAUUUGGGGGUUUUUUUCCCCAAGAACUCUUACAGUGUUUCUCAAUUGAUGGUUAUUAUUUUUGACCAAAAAAAAAAGCUUCCUCAAAUUGCCCAAAUUAACAGGAAGUGACCCAAAAUGUAUAGGGAGUGACCUGUACAUGCCCCAAACCAUCAGAAAGUAACACAAAAUUAUUAUUAUUUUUUUUUUCAAGAACUCUUACACGGUUUCUCCAUUGAUGGUUAUUAUUUUUUACCAAAAAGGCUUCCUCAAAUUGCCCAAAUUAACAGGAAGUGACCCAAAAUGUAAAGGGAGCGACUCGGUUAUGUCCCAGAUCAUCAGAAAGUAACCCCAAAUUAUUUUUUAUUAACUCUUUCAGCAUUUCUUAACUGGUGGUCAUUAUUUUUGACAAAAUAAGCUGGAGUGAUUUGCUCCAAAAUUACCAUUAAGUGACCAAAAUGUACAGGAAGUGACCCGGGAAAGCCCCAAAUCAUUACAAAAUAACACAAAUUAUUAUUUUAAACUCUUUCGGCGGUUUUCCACUAGUGGUCAUUGUUUUUGACAAAAAAUGCUCCCUCAAUUUGCCCCAAAAUUAACAGGGAGUGACCAGAAAUGUCCAGGAAAUUACCUGAGAAUGCCCGAAAUCAUUAGAAUGUACACCAAAUUAAUGUGUUUUUUUGUUGUUGUUUUUCUUUUACUAACUUUUUUCAUUGGUGGUUAUUAUUUUUGACAGAAAAUAAAACUUCCUCAAAUUGUCCAAAAUUAACAGGAAAAUACUCGUAAUGGGAGUGACCCAGGAAUGUCCCAAAUCCUCAUCAAGUAUCAUAGUAUUUUUUUUAUUUUUUAUUAUUAACUCCAUCGGUGUUUCUCCACUAAUGGUCAUUAUUUUUGACAAAAAAGCUGGAGUGGUUUGCUACAAAAUUAACAUUAAGUGACCAAAAUGUACAGGAAGUGACACGAGAAUGCCCCACAUCAUUAGUAAGUACACAAAAUUAAUGUGUGCGUUUUUUUAAAUAAAUUUUUACAUUGGUGGUUAUCAUUUUUGACAGAAAAAAGCUUCCUCAAAUUGCCCAAAAUUAACAGGAAGUGCCCCAAAACCCAAAAUGUAACAGGAGUUACCCAGGAAUGUCCCAAAUCAUCAUAAAGUAUUACAGUAUAAAAGUGUUUUGUUGUUGUUUUUUUCGGAACUCCGUCAGUGUUUCUCUACUAGUGGUCAUUAUUUUUGACAAAAAAAAGGUGGAGUGAUUUGCUCCAAAAUUAACAUUAAGUGACCGAAAUUUACAGGAAGUGACCCAGAAUGCCCCAAAUCAUCAAAAAGUAACCCAAAAUUAAAUAUAUUUCUUUUACAAACUCUGUUUCUCUGCGAGUGAUGACUGCCCCCCCCCCCAAAAAACUCAUUUGCCCCAAAAUCAUAUUGUGUUCUAUUGGAUUGACUCAUUCAGUGUAAUUGUUUUUGACCAAAACAGCUUCCUCAAUUUGUCCCAAAAUGUACAGGAAAUGAACCGGAAAGGCGGGAAUGCCCCAAAUCAUCAGAAAGUAAAAAUUGAAUGUUUUUUUUUUUGUUUGAUUUUUUUAUUGACUCAGAGUUAUUCCAUUGGUGUUGAUUAUUUUGGACCAAAAAAGCUUUCUCAAAUUGCCCCAAAAUAUACAGGAAGUGACCCGGGAAUGCCCCGAAUCAUUCAAUAGUAACACAAAAUGAAAUGUUUGUUUUGUUUUAACACUUUAAGUGUUAUUGUAUUGGUGGUUAUUAUUUUUGACCAAAAAAAGCUUCCCCGAAUUGCCCAUAAAUGUACAGGAAGUGACCCGGGAAUGUCCCAAAUCAACAGAAAGUAACCCCAAAAUCAUAUUGUGUUAUAUCGUAACAACUCAUUCAGUGUCAUUAUUUUUCACCAAAAAAAGGUUCCUAAAAUGCUCCAAAAUGUAUAGGAAGUAAAUGCCCCAAAAGCAACAGACUGACCUUCCUGAUUUCGCGCAGUCUGUCCAGAAUGUUCUGCUGCGGCGCCAGCGUUUGGCUCUGCACUAAGGACGCACAGACAUCGCAGGGGGUCGUGACAUUUGUAGCUGAAGAACCAGAGGGUCAGGGGUCACCGACCUUGUCUGCCAUUCAUGAGAACUUCCCGCAGGUCAAAU